UCAAUGCCCUGAACCACCACUCUGUUUCCAAAGUUAGGCGGGUUCCUGACAGACUGCUGCUGAACAGAGACAUAAACAAGUACUGCAGGUUCAUCUGGAGGAACAGCAGCUCUGCCAACUACAACAGGUGUGGUAGAGCCAAUGAGAAAUACAGAGCUGAGAGUUGCCUGGGUGUGAAUAUCCCAGAAGACCACUUGAGGGGCUAUACCGUCUAUCCACAUCCUGACCUGCCAAACUUGAAAGUGCUGAAGCCAGACGGGAUGGGGGUCCCAGACUCUGACUUCCUGCUCUACAUGCACACUCAGAGCACUGAGAAAUGUAGAGCUGAUUCUAGUGUGCUGGCGUAUUCUGCUCACUGUCAGACUGACACAGACGGACGACCUGUGGCAGGGGUCAUGGUUAUUUGCAGAGAGUCACUGCGUGCGGAUCAGUUCAGUCAUGAACGCUUGGUGCAGGUAACUGCUGUAUAUUAC
rnacentral:lncRNA from 1 species